rnacentral:rRNA from 1 species
UACGGAGGGUGCAAGCGUUAUCCGGAUUCACUGGGUUUAAAGGGUGCGUAGGCGGGUAUGUAAGUCAGUGGUGAAAUCUUGGAGCUUAACUCCGAAACUGCCAUUGAUACUAUAUAUCUUGAAUGUCGUUGAGGUUUGCGGAAUAUGUCAUGUAGCGGUGAAAUGCUUAGAUAUGACAUAGAACACCAAUUGCGAAGGCAGCAGGCUAAACGAAUAUUGACGCUGAGGCACGAAAGCGUGGGGAUCAAACAGG